rnacentral:rRNA from 1 species
AGUCGAACGGAAAGGCCCUGCUUGCAGGGUACUCGAGUGGCGAACGGGUGAGUAACACGUGGGUGAUCUGCCCUGCACUUCGGGAUAAGCUUGGGAAACUGGGUCUAAUACCGGAUAGGAACCAUCUUUAGUGUGGUGGUUGGAAAGUUUUUUCGGUGUAGGAUGAGCUCGCGGCCUAUCAGCUUGUUGGUGGGGUAAUGGCCUACCAAGGCGGCGACGGGUAGUCGGCCUGAGAGGGUGUACGGCCACAUUGGGACUGAGAUACGGCCCAGACUCCUACGGGAGGCAGCAGUGGGGAAUAUUGCACAAUGGGCGCAAGCCUGAUGCAGCGACGCCGCGUGGGGGAUGAAGGCCUUCGGGUUGUAAACUCCUUUCGCUAGGGACGAAGCUUUUUGGUGACGGUACCUAGAUAAGAAGCACCGGCUAACUACGUGCCAGCAGCCGCGGUAAUACGUAGGGUGCGAGCGUUGUCCGGAAUUACUGGGCGUAAAGGGCUCGUAGGUGGUUUGUCGCGUCGUCUGUGAAAUUCUGGGGCUUAACUCCGGGCGUGCAGGCGAUACGGGCAUAACUUGAGUGCUGUAGGGGUAACUGGAAUUCCUGGUGUAGCGGUGAAAUGCGCAGAUAUCAGGAGGAACACCGAUGGCGAAGGCAGGUUACUGGGCAGUUACUGACGCUGAGGAGCGAAAGCAUGGGUAGCGAACAGGAUUAGAUACCCUGGUAGUCCA